AUUUACAAAAAUACAUGUCUUUCUAGAAAGAGAUUGUCUGAGGAUGGCUUUCCAGUCCCUGUUCCACACUGAAGCCAGCUGGCCUGUUUAUUCACACAUGAAGUUUGAAUUUGAGGAACAUACAUGUUCUUCACUGUCAUGAAUCCUCAUCUUUCUUAGGAAUUGUUGAAGACACCUGAAUUUGCCAUUCUGCAGUCUAUGCACCCUUAUUGUAUGAGAGGAGGACCUAAGUACCCUGCAAACCCAGUCUUGUGUUCUUGGAUGGCUUGGAAAAAGGUACACAUGGAGACCGCCAUGUUGAGGAGCCUCCCGAUGAACCUGCUGCUUCUGCAACCUCUCACUGCAAUCCCUUCGCCUAGGAAAGGCUGUGGCUUUUAUCUAAGGCACCUCUGCCCCAUCUGAAUUAAAUGAAUGAAUUAAAUCACCAUCAAAAACGA